UACGUGAGGGGCGAGCGUUAUCCGGAAUUACUGGGCGUAAAGCGCACGCAGGCGGUUCGCCAAGUUUGGAGUGACAGUUGUCGGCUCAACCGACAAAGGACUUCAAAAACUGGUGAACUUGAGGACGAGAGAGGAACAUGGAACUCCAGGUGUAGUAGUGAAAUGCGUAGAUAUCUGGAAGAACACCAAUGGCGAAGGCAAUGUUCUGGCUCGUUUCUGACGCUCAGGUGGCGAAAGCCAGGGGAGCGAACGGG
rnacentral:rRNA from 1 species